UACGUAGGGUGCAAGCGUUGUCCGGAAUUAUUGGGCGUAAAGGGCUCGUAGGCGGUCCAUCACGUCGAGUGUGAAAGCCCCCGGCUCAACUGGGGAGGGUCAUUCGAUACUGAUCGACUCGAAGGCAGGAGAGGGUAGUGGAAUUCCCGGUGUAGUGGUGAAAUGCGUAGAUAUCGGGAGGAACACCAGUGGCGAAGGCGACUACCUGGCCUGUUCUUGACGCUGAGGCGCGAAAGCUAGGGGAGCAAACGGG
rnacentral:rRNA from 1 species